rnacentral:rRNA from 1 species
GAUGAACGCUAGCGGCAGGCUUAAUACAUGCAAGUCGAGGGGCAGCACGGGUAGCAAUACCUGGUGGCGACCGGCGAACGGGUGCGUAACACGUAUGCAACUUACCUUAAACUGGGGCAUAACGCUGAGAAAUCGGUGCUAAUUCCCCAUAACACCACGAAACGGCAUCGUUUUGUGAUUAAAGCUCCGGCAGUUUAAGAUGGGCGUGCGCGACAUUAGGUAGUUGGUAAGGUAACGGCUUACCAAGCCUACGAUGUCUAGGGGUUCUGAGAGGAUUAUCCCCAACACUGGUACUGAGACACGGACCAGACUCCUACGGGAGGCAGCAGUAGGGAAGAUUGGGAAAUGGACGCAAGUCUGACCCAGCCAUGCCGCGUGCAGGAUGAAGGCCCUAGUGGUUGUAAACUGCUUUUGUACGGGAAAAAACCCCCCGACGUGUCGGGGGUUGAUGGUACUGUAAGAAUAAGGAUCGGCUAACUCCGUGCCAGCAGCCGCGGUAACAC